CACAUGGGAUGUUCGACUAAGAUCGCCACGUCCUGUGGCAACUUCGAACGACCCUGCGUCGUACAGU
rnacentral:sRNA from 1 species